rnacentral:tRNA from 1 species
AACUUUUAAAGGAUAACAGUCAAUCCACUGGUCUUAG